UUGGAAUGGUGUCUUGCUGUUCCUUUUUCAUGUGGAGAAAGCUGAAGAAGUGGUUAAAAUUUUAUUACAUUUUGCUUUGACCUAAUACUUUGACAGAGAUCAUCAACAGCAGUUGCAAAAUCCAUCAUGAUAUCUGCUGUAAACAGGAUAUCUAAUUCAGCUGGAGCAUCUCCAUAAAGAUUGUUCUAGGCCUCUCUGGGGAUCUUCAAUGUCCCAGGGCAAACUCUUCACUGUCAACUCUUUUCUGAGUGCAAAGAAGAUGAUAAAAUAUAAUCACGAAAAGUCAGAUGAAAACACAAGCCUCCAGGAAAGUUGCAGCCAACCAAUUUCACAAUCUUGUUCCAGGAGUGCCUGACCCAGGUUUCAAAAGAGAAGGGAAAAAAAACACUUGGAAAAAAUGGAAGUUUCAUCUCUGGCCUGCAUUACAGCUUCUGGCAUAUUUUUAGAUGCCAAUAAGUAAUGUCAAAGAAACAGCUGUUAAAAUGAUCCUGCUUAACAGCCAUAAAGGAAUGAAGAUUUCCACAGAGAGCUUUUCUCCGUGGAGCUGCCAUUUCCUGCUGACUGCGAGACAAGAUGGAGUGCCAGAUUGUCAUUUAGUUUAACUCCAUGGAAAUGAGGCAAGGGAAUCUGACCAUGAUUAAACCUUUGCAUCCAGCAAAAGAACACAGGGCAAUCAAGGAAACCUUCUGCUGGCCCUCGGGGGACAGACUGUUGAUACGGAAAGCCAGGUCCGGAGAGAUUGAGUUUUGCCCAAAGCCUCAAUGCAAAAUUGGGUCAGUGUCAUGGGAAGAACCCAAAUCUCCAGAUGCUGCCUUCAGCACUCUGUUCCCUGAACUACCCUGUUUCUCAAGACUGGCUCCUGAACCACUUUCCAUGGAGUUAGAAAGUGAAUGGAGGUAUCAGUCAUUGUCCAUACAGCAUGAAUUUGGGGGGUUUUCUAAUUUAAAGGAAGCCUAGGGCUUCACAUAGCUUGUAGACAGAAGAUGAGAUUAAAGUAAAAUACCUGAUAAGUAAUAUUUUCUAUUUCAUCAAGUAAUGUUACCAGCUGUGUAAUGAGAGCUAUGUCUACAAAAUCCAGAACGAAUUGGAGACUUCAAAUGUUACUGCAGAUAGCUAAAUCAAACUAAUUAUCCGGGCCUCAAAUAGAACUUUGUGGUCUGAAUGAGAUGGAGAAUAAUUUGUACUGUAAGUAAAUUCUGUUUCUUCAUUGUGAGAAACACACAUUCACCUGUCCAAACCCAAAGAAUGGACUCAGAGACACGAAGAACAGUGAAAGCAAGACUUUUAAUGGUGGUCUUGCAAGAUAGGGUGUUUGGUAGGUAGGCACAUCCCGGGCAGUUACAGAAGGUAAUUUAUCUCCUAGCAUGCAAGUCCCUCCCUUAGUUCCUCAUUGGUUGAGUACUGUGGGGUUACAAUCUUCCCGGAUGUCGCCUAAGUUUCAUGAUCCCCCUUAUAAGGUUAUACCCCACCCCCCUCCCUGCUUAAGUUUCGAUUUCCCGAUAAUGAAACUUUCUUCCCUUUUAUGGGCUGACCCCUCCUCUACAUUCUGUUCACUUAUCGUGACCUUCUAGGUGCAUGAGAUGUGCGGUUUGUUACAUCCACAGGCUGGCCACCAGUACUUAGAUUUAUCAUGCCUUGAAAAUGGACCAUUUAAAAUGUUUUUUCACAUUCAUGAUAAUCGUUAAUAUGUAAAAAUGUUGGGUGAGAAGGCCCAAGUUAGAAAAAAAUAACCCAGUGCAAUACAUGCUUUUGAAAAUGUAUCCUGGGACCAGAGCUUCCCAUACGUCAGUGAUUCACAUACAACUGCCACCAUUUUUACCAUAUCUGCAUGUUUCCAUUAAAUUCACUUUUUAAUAUAAGUAAAUGUAUGAAAAAAGAAAGCUUUGUAAAACUAUAACAUGGAAAACCAGUAUAAUUUGCCAAAAUCAAUUAAAGUAAAUUUGCAAUUAUAAAAACUUUUAAAAGUUUAUGUGUGCUUUUAUUAGAACCAUCUUAUGCAUGACCAGCAGUGUGUAUACUGUGCCUUGGGAGACGUUGGUCUAGGCUAGCAGUUAUCAAUAUUUUUUAGAGGUAGGGGGAGGAAACUCAGAACCAUUCUAUUUGGCCUCACACAGAUAGGUACUUGGAAAAGAAGUAUAUUUUCAUCAUCUUACAAAACUGUAGAUAUUCUUCUUUGGUUCUGCAACAAAGCUCAAUAAUAUAGAUUAUGAAACGAAAUCAAUGAACUUUUACUUUAAAAUCUAUUGGUCUACCUUGCACUUUGAAUGAAUUUCUUUACCCAUGCCUCAUUUUGUAAAAGGAUGCAUUGAUUAUUUGGAAAACAUUGUUUCGCUGGGCCAUGCAGAGCUUCCAAAUUUUGGCAAAAAAUCAUAUUUUUUAAUAUCACCACCAGCCAUGUAAGGAAAGUAUUUAAACUUUGGAAAUCUUGUUAAUCUCAUGGUGGCAGAUACAAGUUUCCAAAAUUCUAAUUUUUACCUGAAAGCUCCCACUUUAUUAUUUAGGACAAAUACUGAAAAACACAGGUUCUUUUUUUCCCUUCAGUUGAGAGGUCCACUUAGUUCAUUUUCAAGAAAAUGUCAUACCAAAGUCUCAAUAAUCAUAGUUUGUCUGCAAGUUAAACUUCCUCAAAUCAAAGUUAGUAAGUCUGAAAGUCUUAACAGAAAACUGGUUGGUGCUUUGUGACAAAGGUGGCUAGGUCAGCUGCAACUCAGCCACACAGGUGGUUUUCCUUGAGACAACCGUUGUACUUUGGUAUGAAGCAGUACUUCAUGUGUGCACUACAUUUCAUCACACAAAAUAUUUAAAACACGUGUAUUCAAGGGUUGAAAUUUAAUAAAAUCAAUAACUGCUUCAUCAAAGACACUCUUAGUUAAAUUGGUGCUUUUUUUCCUUUUUUUUUUUUUUUUUGCUACGAGUGUAUGAUAUUGAAGAAUACAAUGACUAUAAGCAAAGUUUGGUGCCACUGCCUUGAUGCGUAUUAAGGGGCCAGUGGUUUUAUUCACCAUUGCUUUAGCACUAUCAGUGCAAAAGUCAACCCUGACAGGCAAAUAACAUCUUGAUAUUAGUGUGAAUAUCGUUCUGAUCUCACAAAUCCCCCGAAAGGAUCUUGUUGACCUUCAAGGAUCUGUGGCCACACUUUGAAAGCUGCUGAUUUAGGCCAAUUUGUAAAAUUAAGGGAAAAGGAAAGGAAUCUAAUUUAUUAUACAUCUUAUAAACAUUAUGUUAUGAACUGAAUUGUGUCCUCCCAAAAUUCGUAUGUUGCAGUCCCACCCCCCAGAAUUUAACCAUAUUUAGAGACAAGUCCUUGCAAGAAUUUAAAGGGAGGCCAUUAGGGUGGGGCCCCAAUCCAAUAUGACCGGUGUCCUUAUAAGAAGAGGAAGAGACACCAGGGACACAAGUAUACAAGGGACAACCAUAUGAAAAAGCAGCAAGAGGAUGGCCAUCUGCAAGCUGAGUGGCCUUAGAGGAAUCCACUCCUGCUAGGACCUUGAUCUUGGACUUCCAGCCUCCAAAACUGUCAGAAAAUACAUUUCUGUUGUUUAAGCCACCCAUUCUGGGGCAUCUUAUUGUGGCAGCUCUAGCAAACUAAUACAUAUUGGCAUCAUAUGAUGACAUGAUGAUACAUAAAUGAUGACAUUUAUGAUGCUGUCAUCAUAAAAACUUUGAAGUACAUAUUGUCAUCCUCAUUUUAUGGAGGUGGUGGUGGAAGCUCGGGGAAGAUAGGUAAUUUGCCAAGCUCAUUCUGCUAAGAGAGGAAAAAGCCAAAAUUCAGAUGUGACUGCAAAGCCAGAAGUCCCAGAGCCAGUGCAUGAGUGAGCUCAGAUAGAAAUUCAGAUCCCAGUGCUCUGUCUGUGACAUCAAGUUGCCCUGUAGAAGUGAGAAUGUUGUUUCCUACUAAUGAUCCUAAUAAAUAGAAAACCUAAGUUGUAAAUAAACAAUUUCUACUAACAGUACAAUGUAAAUACUACUGUAAUGAAUGAUUUUACAAAAUUUUAUUUCUGCUGUAUGGACACUGCAUUAAAAAAAAAAUUAUAAAUAGGCAGAGACCAGUGUGACUCAAACACAGAAUUUUAUCACAAAUACAAACUACAAAAACCAAUCCUACCCUUCUUUCUCUAAUAGACACGUCUGGAGGAACUAAACCAACAACUUAAAGAAAUAAAUAAAUGACCUAACACCUCCUGCUGGAACCUGUGACCUCUCUUUGCCGUUCUUGUAAUGUGCCAUUGAUUGGCCAGUCGGAAGGGACACUGUUUCAGCAGCCUGCUGUCCAUGAGAGAAUGACUUCUUUCUCCGCUUGGUGUCUCAGUUGACCCCUCAGGAGGUGUGGCUGAGAGUUCAGCAUCAAAUGGCUUUUAACACCUGGGUUUCAUUCUGAAUCUCCCUCAAGUCCCAGCAGUAAUGAAGCAAUUGUAUGUCCUGCCAUAAUAAAUCUGAAUCAAAGUGAUGCCAGUACCCCCUUCCUUCCAGGGAGCAGAGUAGAUCAGUUAAGACAGACUAGGAGCAUUUUGUGCAGUGCUCUGAUCAGAAGGAUGGAAGCUCCAUCCUUUGGCAGAGAGCAACUCUGAGUGCUUUUCCUGUGCAGGUUGCCAUUUGUAUUAGAAAUUUGACUGCAAAAGAGUUUAAGCAUUAUUGGUGAAUUUCUAAUCCUUUAUUUCAAAGUUCUUGCUUCAGCGAUGUCUUAUUUAUUUAUUUAUUUUUGCAUUUAGAAUUAAUUCAACUGCAAAAAAAGUGCACAUCUACCAAAUAUCAAGCAUUGCAUUAGAUACCAGGGGUCUUAAGAAGGAUAAGUAGGACAUGGAUUUUUUUCUCAAAGAAAUUUUAUUGUCUGUUUGUGUUAUCAGAAUUCAGAAUGCCAUUGCCUCAUUAGCCUGUUUCAUUGUAUUUGUAGUAUUUGUCAAUGUCAGACAGUCUUUUAUUUAUUUAUUAAUGUACUUGUUGUCCAUUUCCCCAACCAGAAUGAAGCUCCGCAAAGGUAUGUAUUGUGUCUGCUUUGCUUUUUACUGUGUUAUCAGAUCUGGAAUAGUGCCAUGACACAGUGUAGACAUCCAUUAAGAAUGAAUAAUCUGGCCAGGCGCAGUGGCUCAUGCCUGUAAUCCCAGCACUUUGCGAGGCCGAGGCAGGCGGAUCACCUGAGGUCGGGAGUUGGAGACCAGCCUGGCCAACAUGGUGAAACCCUGACUCUACUAAAAAUACAAAAUUAGCUGGGCAUGGUGGCACGUGCCUGUAGUCCCAGCUACUCGGGAGGCUGAGGCAGGAGAAUCGCUUGAACCCAGGAGGCGGAGGUUGCAGUGAGCCAAGAUGAUGCCACCACUGCACUCUAGCCUGGGCGACAAGAGCAAAACUCUGUCUCAAAAAAAAAAAAAGAAUGAAUAAUUUACAGCUAACUAACAUUGGUACAGUGUACUGACUAGGUCUGAGUAGUUUGGGAACGUUAAGUCUUUUUUUUCUUUAAAGACAGAAGUAUAAUGACUAAGUUUAAAGGAUGGACACCAUCUUACCCUAUACACUUGUAUUUUGUUAGAAGAGAUUUUGUUUCAAGACUGGCCUGGGCAACAUAGUGAGACCCUGCAUCCAUUAAUAUUAAAAACAAACAAACAAAAAAAACAAGGGCCUGGCGCAGUGGCUCAUGCCUGUAAUCCCAGCACUUUGAGAGGUCAGAGGCAGGCGGAUCACGAGGUUGGGAGAUCGAGACCAUCCUGGCCAACAUGAUGAAACCCCAUCUCUACUAAAUAUACAAAAAUUAGCUGGGUGUAAUGGCGCGUGCCUGUAAUCUCAGCUACUCGGGAGGCUGAGGCAGGAGAAUUGCUUGAGCCUGGGAGGCAGAGGUUGCAGUGAGCUGAGAUGGCGCCACUGCCCUCCAGCCUGGCGACAGAGCAAGACUCCGUCUCAAACAAAACAAAACAAAAAAACAAAA